rnacentral:tRNA from 1 species
GUCGUCCUAGUUUAAAAAAAACGUUAGAUUGUGAUUCUAGAAACAGGGGUUAAACCCCCCUUGACAACC